rnacentral:rRNA from 1 species
UACGUAGGGUGCGAGCGUUAAUCGGAAUUACUGGGCGUAAAGCGUGCGCAGGCGGCUUUGCAAGACAGAUGUGAAAUCCCCGGGCUCAACCUGGGAACUGCAUUUGUGACUGCAAGGCUAGAGUACGGCAGAGGGGGAUGGAAUUCCGCGUGUAGCAGUGAAAUGCGUAGAUAUGCGGAGGAAAACCAAUGGCGAAGGCAAUCCCCUGGGCCUGCAAUGACGCUCAUGCACGAAAGCGUGGGGAGCAAACAGG